AUUGAACGCUGGCGGCAGGCCUAACACAUGCAAGUCGAGCGAGCGGCGGACGGGUGCGUAAUGUCUGGGGAUCUGCCUGAUAGAGGGGGAUAACUACUGGAAACGGUGGCUAAUACCGCAUACUAUCGGCUGAUCCCAUAUGGGAUUAGCUAGUAGGUGGGGUAAAGGCUCACCUAGGCGACGAUCUCUCGCUGGUCUGAGAGGAUGAUCAGCCACACGGGGACGGAGACACGGCCCAGACUCCUACGGGAGGAAGCAGUGGGGAAGAUUGCACAAUGGGCGCAAGCCUGAUGCAGCCAUGCCGCGUGUAUGAAGAAGGCCUUAGGGUUGUAAAGUACUUUCAGCGGGGAGGCGUUACCCGCAGAAGAAGCACCGGCUAACUCCGUGCCAGCCGCCGCGGUAAUAC
rnacentral:rRNA from 1 species